CGCUUUUUUCCGUAUCUCUCAAGUCUCAACUGUUACUAAAAUUCUGUCUCCUGCUAAAAUUCUAUCUCUUAAUAUAGAUACUAUAAACAAAAACAAACACUGCAAAUUUCAUAGAACUCUUUCUAUGUCUCAUCCUUUCUCCGACUGAAGCUGUGGCGGACUAAUACUUAAACGACGCCUCCUAUUAGAAUUCUAACUCCUGGUGUUCACUGGUUUUACAAACGAAAGCAAAUACUGCAGAGCAAUUGUGGAGGAAGCGACUGCGGAUACGUUAGAUGAGACUGACUGGGCUACGAAUCUUGAGCUUUGUGAUAUGAUUAAUCAUGAUAGGAUUAAUAGCCUUGAAUUGAUUCGAUCGAGGUGUGAAGAAAAGGAUUAUGAUGAAGGUUCCUAGGGUUCAGUACUUGGGUUUGGUUUUGCUUGAGACUAUUUCUAAAAAUUGUGAGAAAGCGUUUUCGAAAUUUGCGGCUGAAAGGGUGUUUGAUGAGAUGGUGAACAUAGUUGAUGAUCCUCAGACAGUUGUUAAUAACCGCAGUAAGGCUUUGAUUCUGAUUAAAGCGUGGAGGGAGUGAGCUUCGCUAUUUGCCUGUUUAUGAGGAGACGUACAAGGUAUGUUCGUACCACCAAAAAUGAUUGCUUAGUGUCAAAAAUAUGUAGAAUCUUUAAUUCAAUGCUUUAGAUUUCGUGUUCUUUACUGUUUCCUCUGUUUUAUUUACUUAACUUAUCACCUUGGAUAUAUGUUCUUUUUGGGGCCUUGGUUUUUUCCGAGCUUGAGGUCCAGAGGUAUACGCUUUCCUGGUUGUGAUGGCUCCUAUAUUCACUCCUCCUCGUUCGACCACAGUACCGGAGUCAAAUGCGAGCUUGGCACAACAAAUGUAUAAUGAGGUUCUUGUGAUAAGCUUUUCUCCCGAGCAAACAAAAGAAGUAUUCGAUGUUGCAAGAAACAGUAUUGAACUUCUUAGGACAUUUUUGUCCUCCUCACUAGAGCAAGAAGCUUUAUAGAUCCAUAAAUUUGCUCUUCGCUUUUUGUCGGUUUAUGAAACAGAACAGUUUAUAAGCUCAUUAAAGGAUAUCUUGGACGAUUCAAGUGAUGUUGGAGAGCCCUCUAGCAACUUUGGGUCUGCUCAAUAACCUCCAUCAGAGUGCGUCAUUUCAAGUGGAUCUCCAUAUAGACCUACCAAGGAUUGGAGCCCUGCACCUUCUACAAAUACUCAGUCCCAACGAAUGUCACCAAUUUUGAAUCCUGAUGCUCUCCAAACCUCAAACCCACCAGAACCCAUAUAUUACAAUCCUGUUGAGGCUACUCAUCCUAAUUUUCCUCCCAGCUUCACAUCGUUACUGUUGAACUGUAGCCCUGCUGUUCAUCAAGCUGCUGCACAAGUGCAGCCAUCUCUCUCUGAGGAUGCGGAUCUGAAAGAUCAAAUUGCGAGGUAUAUGAAGGACUCUUCCUUUCGAGGUAUGUCUGCAUCUUAUCAUCCUGGCCACACUGGGAGUUUCUAAGGUGUGACUGCCUUUUCCAUUCGAUUGUCACUGAUUCUAGGAUCCUCUGUUACCUUCCAUCUGUGGUAGCUACUGCCAUAAUGUGUCUUGUUAUCAAAGAAGUUGAUGUUAAUAAUGCACUGGAAUAUCAGAACCAGCUUCUGGGCAUCCUCAAAAUCAGCAAGGAAAGAGUGAAUGAAUGCUGUAACCUGAUCACGGAACUACUUGGCGAUUGUGGUUACAAGAAAUAAAUGUCUUUUCUAAAUAAAAAUUGAACAUGUUUAUCAUUCUUAAUUUUAUAAAAAUCUUCUUAGAAAAUUUAAUAUAUAUAUAUAUAUAUAUAUUUAGAAAAUAUGCUUGAUAUCCUCUAAAAAUAUAUUCAUAGGGACAUCUAUACUAUACUAUAAUAAGCCAACAUAGGUAUAAUUUGUAUUCCUACUUUUUUGUUAAGUUUUUUGGUUUGGUCAUGUUUUUUUGUCAUCUCAAUGUUAUCCUUAUUAAAAAUAUAAAUAAUAAUAUUAAACAUCUAUCUUAGUAUUAAAAAAACAGAUAUAAAGAAUAUUGCCAGAAGUCUAUCUCCUGUUAGAAACAAGUAGUAGUCUUAAAAACAAAAACAAACAUCCGCACUCUCCUCGACUCCUCUGCCCUCCUUCUGUCUUUCUCUGAAGCGCUUGCAAAGGGGAUCUGAUUCAAUUAGCACUCGAGACAGAGAUUUGAAAAGAAACAUGAUUACGUGAGACGGGCCUGAACGAAGACGAUGACCGGGAAUCCUGCUACGGUGUUAACUUAGGCAGAAGAUAUCAUCAGCUCCUUCAGCCAUCAAAUCUGUAUUUGGUCAAGAAGAAAACCGGCCUGAUGCAGCGGACAAACUAGAAAAAUUAAGAGAGAGGAUGAUCAAAGUACGAGACCUUUUCCGCGACACAGAAUCGACAGAAUUUGUCAUUGUAAUGAUCCCCACGGUCGAUGGAACAAGAUGAGGAGCGUUCGAAAAAAUUCAAAGAAAAUCGGAGGAAACAUUUACGAGAUAUUGAAGAACAGAGCGUUCCGGAUAUUGAGGAAUUUGGAAAUUUUAGCGGGGAAACGCAGGAUUAAGUUGCAAGAUGGUUCAUCGUUUGUGGAUGAGGAUUCGAAGGUUACUGUGUACCAGAAUGUGCAGUGGAGCAGUAGGUACCAAGUGGUGGUGAGGCCUAACGGGACUGAUGUUAAUUUUUUUAGGGACUAAUUAUUCCGGUGAAGCUGCUGCUCCUCAGAUAUGUACUUAUGCUUCUGGGGUUCUUGAUAAGGAGACACAGACUCUUAGGAUUGUGCCCGUCACUUCAAAUAAGGUUGUGGAUAUCAUCUAUGCCUUUGCUUAUACUAUCCAGUCAAGUUUAAAUCCAUGGUUUCACAACCAAUGCAUGUUCACAAUUUUUUCACUUCACAUCUCACAGGAGCAGCAGCAGGGUGGACAAGGACCAGAGAUGCAUGCAUACCCCAUCUGCAACUCAGCCUAUCACAAAUUUAAAUUUAAUUACUCACUCGAAUUUUGUGUUAGAACUAUUAAUUAGAUGUACUUUUUUUUUUGAAUGUAUGGAUGUCUAAAUCCUUACGAUUCCCGUUUCAGUUUAUGUUAGCCGAGUGCGACCCAUACAUAUCUGAGAGAA